rnacentral:lncRNA from 1 species
GGAAGAAUGAUGCAUAUGAAGGUCAAUACUCACUGUUUACCCCGAGGUUAUUGAUUUCAGCUUUAACAAUAGCAUUGAUGCUGCUAUGAAUUCACAAAACUAAGUUGACCUAUCAGGAGUGUCUUCAAUUAUAUUCAUGUGGCUUAAAUAUCGGGUGAGAUUUUGACCCUAGAGAGAGAGGGGUAUUUUGCCGAAGAAUGCACACUGGCAGGAAGGCAUCCUUUAUGUUGGAAGAUCGUCCCUGUUGUGUAGGGUAGAGGAGAUGAAAGAAAGUCAAAAGGUUAAUUAAGCACAGGAAAUUUUAGCUCUGCCUUGUAAGUGAGAAGCAGAAAAAGCCUUAAUGAGAGGGAAUUAUCAUACCAACCAUGAGUUCUAAUUGCAAACUCUAGAAUAUGUUCUUCUGACUCUGGAAUUUUUAGGGGGUUCUUCUGAAAUUUUUGUGAUGUUGAAAAAAUAUUUGCAUGUGUUUAGCUAUUAUUCUUGUGGUUAGCUUGAAUGCUUGACUGACUUUUAUAUGCAAACAUCAGAUUAAGCAAUUAUAGAUUGCACUUCUAAAUCGUGUUUUCUUAAGGUAUGCGACUGCUAAAUAUGUUUUCUAGGAUAAAUCCCUAUCUCACCUAUGAUAAGAAACGUCAAGAAGAGCGUUUUUCUAGGCCUUCAAAAAGGUCUCCUGGCACUUGGCCUCAUCUCUUUCAAACAAUUGUGCUAUGAGAAGACAAAGAAAACAACUUACAAUACAACAGAAAGCUGAAGCACCCAGUUUAGCUACCUGAAGAUAUUAUAAAGACUCCAGAGAUUACAGGUGAGAAAUCUUACAAGAAAGUUAGAUUUUCAUUUUCCUUGUGAUGAUUUCAACAUUUUAAGCUCAUUGUUUCUCCACUACAGUAAAUAUAAAGACAGGAUAUUCCAGAAGCAGAACUUUAUCUGACUGUUGUAGAGAUGUUCUAGAGGGACCUUGUUCAUGUUUGUUAGAAAGAAGUCUUGAAAUCUCAGACACAUUGUGAAUCAUAUGCUUAAGGAAAAGAAAAAACAAAAUGAAAAAAAACAACAAAACAAAAAAAAACACAGCUCUGUUGCCUCCUCUCCUGUGAGCUUAUUUCCAUCCUUUCUCAUUUGUUAGCUCUUUUUCCCCUUCAUCUUGCAAUUGGCUUCAAAUAAUCCCUGCUAGUAAUGCUUCUCCAUGACCUGUCUUCUGGUUUUACCAGCCCCAUGUCAGGAACUGUUUCGUAGAUGUCUUCACAGCUUUUGCAAGAGGUGAAAAAUAG